rnacentral:lncRNA from 1 species
AAUCUCCUCACCGCUGCUCUGGGACACGCCUCUGUUGGAUUUAAUUUACAGUCAUCAGCCACAGCUUUCAGCGAUGGACUCGACGGUUGAUGAUGAAGCGAUGGCGGCGUGAAUGAAGGCCCAGUGAGGAGAAACGAUGCCCAAGGGUGGGUGUUCUAGAACCCCACAGCAGGAAGAGCGUUCCCUGAGCAGCGACAUGGUGGAGAAGCAGCCCGGGAAAAAGGACAAAGAUAAAGUUUCUCUAACCAAGACCCCAAAGCUGGACCGCAGUGAUGGUGGGAAGGAGGUGAGAGAGCGCGCACCCAAGAGGAAGCUGCCCUUCACCGCGGGGGCCAAUGGAGAGCAGAAGGACUCGGACACAGAGAAGCAGGGUCCUGAGCGGAAGCGGAUCAGGAAGGAGCCCGUCACCCGCAAGGCCGGGCUGCUCUUCGGCAUGGGGCUGUCUGGGAUCCGCGCCGGCUACCCUCUCUCUGAGCGCCAGCAGGUGGCUCUGCUCAUGCAGAUGACGGCCGAGGAAUCCGCCAACAGCCCAGUGGACAUGACACCAAAGCACCCCUCUCAGUCAACAGUGUGUCAGAAGGGGACGCCCAACUCUGCCUCAAAAACCAAAGAUAAAGUGAACAAGAGGAACGAGCGUGGGGAGACCCGCCUGCACCGGGCGGCCAUCCGGGGGGACGCCCGGCGCAUCAAGGAGCUUAUCAGCGAGGGGGCAGACGUCAAUGUCAAGGACUUUGCGGGCUGGACGGCAUUGCAUGAGGCCUGUAACCGGGGCUACUAUGAUGUCGCGAAGCAGCUGCUGGCUGCAGGUGCGGAGGUGAACACCAAGGGCCUGGAUGAUGACACACCCUUGCACGAUGCUGCCAACAACGGGCACUACAAGAUCGCGCCCCCACCCUCGCUGGCAGAGCCCCUGAAGGAGCUGUUCAAGCAGCAGGAGGCCGUGCGGGGGAAGCUCCGCCUGCAGCACAGCAUCGAGCGGGAGAAGCUGAUCGUCUCUUGCGAGCAGGAGAUACUGCGGGUCCACUGCCGGGCAGCGAGGACCAUCGCGAACCAGGCGGUGCCGUUCAGCGCCUGCACCAUGCUGCUGGACUCAGAGGUGUACAACAUGCCGCUGGAGAGCCAGGGUGAUGAGAACAAGUCAGUGCGGGACAGGUUCAACGCCCGCCAGUUUAUAUCCUGGCUGCAGGAUGUGGACGACAAGUACGACCGCAUGAAGACGUGUCUCCUGAUGCGGCAGCAGCACGAGGCGGCGGCUCUCAACGCCGUGCAGAGGAUGGAGUGGCAGCUGAAAGUCCAGGAGCUGGACCCCGCCGGGCACAAGUCCUUGUGCGUGAAUGAGGUGCCGUCCUUCUACGUGCCCAUGGUCGACGUCAACGACGACUUUGUGCUCCUGCCGGCCUGAUGCACAGGGACAGCUGCACAGGACACAGGCGAGCCCCCCUGACGUCUGCUG